CGCUACAGUUGGGAAUAUUAUUGGUUUAGUUACAUUUGCAUUUGUAACUGCGAUUUGCACAGCGGAAAUAAAACACAAAUCGCUGCAAACUGAACGGUCCGAAUUGCACAAAAGGGCGACCGGAAAAUCUGGAGGGGAUUGGCUUGGACCGGCGAAUCUUUUGUUUCCCGCCGGGGAAAAAAACAAAAUAUAAUGGCAAAUGUCUGAGAAUUGGGGUUCAUAGCUCCACUAACUAUCCGACGAACGGAUAGUUAUUUACCUUUAGGGGGAGAAAAGUUCGUGGACUUAGUUGAAUUAAAAGAUUGGAUCAGCGUGGCUCCCCGAAAUUUCCCCUGCGGACUGACAUCAAAGGUUGCCGCCGCUGGAGCGGACUAUCAAUGGCUGGCGGAACAAAGGCACGUCCGAGACUCAUUAAUAAUUUUUCGCAGCGCGCAUAAUUAUAUAAAACAUGGGCAGCGGAAAUUGCUAACAGCUAUGGCAGCCACCAGAAGCAAAGCACAACCAGAAGCUAAAGAAGUGGCAGCAGUUUUUGAGUUUGUGAGCAACGAUGUCAACGACAACGAUGACGCACUUAACUUUUAGUGUAGCCUGCAAUUUUUACUACACAACUCAGCUCAAAGAGCCAUCGCCCGUCAUUGUCGAUGACUUCGUCCUGCCACUUGGCUGCAACUUUGUCUGGCAUCAAAAAACGCAGAGCGGUCCGCCAGCCAAUAGCCAUCGCCAUCGCCAUCGCCGAGCCAUCGCCGUCCGGCGACCAUAACUCUUUGUCCCGCUCAGCAGUUAUUGAACAUUUUCAAUUACUUUCAGCUGAAAGCAUAAAUUUUUAAUAAUUUGAAACAUGAUAAAAGGAAAUUAAAGGCGAAACUUUGUGCCGAAAACGGGAGUGGACGCACAGAGGGGGCGGUCCGUAUUGGAUGUCGCGCAGGAUGUUUUAUCAAACUAUUAUAAUUACGUUGGAAAGACAAAAAUUUUAAUAAAUGAUAACUUUUUUGUCGUCA